UACGUAGGGUGCAAGCGUUAAUCGGAAUUACUGGGCGUAAAGCGUGCGCAGGCGGUGAUGUAAGGCAGAUGUGAAAUCCCCGGGCUCAACCUGGGAACUGCAUUUGUGACUGCAUCGCUGGAGUGCGGCAGAGGGGGAUGGAAUUCCGCGUGUAGCAGUGAAAUGCGUAGAUAUGCGGAGGAACACCGAUGGCGAAGGCAAUCCCCUGGGCCUGCACUGACGCUCAUGCACGAAAGCGUGGGGAGCAACGGG
rnacentral:rRNA from 1 species